rnacentral:rRNA from 1 species
UAAAACACCAGUUCUCGUCCGAUCACCGAAGUUAAACAACGUUGAGUCUGGCCAGUAACUAGAUGGGUGACCGCUUGGAAAGAACAGGUGUU